AACGAACGCUGGCGGCAUGCCUAACACAUGCAAGUCGAACGAAGCCUUCGGGCUUAGUGGCGCACGGGUGCGUAACACGUGGGAAUCUGCCCUUCGGUUCGGAAUAACAGUUAGAAAUGACUGCUAAUACCGGAUGAUGACGUAAGUCCAAAGAUUUAUCGCCGAAGGAUGAGCCCGCGUAGGAUUAGGUAGUUGGUAGGGUAAUGGCCUACCAAGCCGACGAUCCUUAGCUGGUCUGAGAGGAUGAUCAGCCACACUGGGACUGAGACACGGCCCAGACUCCUACGGGAGGCAGCAGUGGGGAAUAUUGGACAAUGGGCGAAAGCCUGAUCCAGCAAUGCCGCGUGAGUGAUGAAGGCCUUAGGUUGUAAAGCUCUUUUACCUAGGGAUGAUAAUGACAGUACCUGGAGAAUAAGACUCCGGCGUAACUCCGUGCCAGCAGCCGCGGUAAAAUAAGCGUACU
rnacentral:rRNA from 1 species